rnacentral:tRNA from 1 species
GGGGAUUUAGCUCAGUGGUAGAGCGCUUGCCUAGCAAGCACAAGGCUCUGGGUUCGGUCCCUAGCUCCG